AACUCAACUGACUGUGAAUAAUUACAAGGUCCAGUGAAAGAGGAGAAAAUAAUUUGGGUUAUUUUUCCUCCCUUCUGCCUAUUACAUCCCUGAAUAGUCUCCCGUUAACCAAACCUGGAAAACACCUGGAUAACUGAGUGAAAGAAUAAAUGAGAAAACAGGAAAAGAAAAACAUGCCAAGAUGAAGACAAAUAGGGGAUGGCUGCAGAUUUAAACACACAUGUAGAGCCAGAGGGAAAGCAGGACUCAGCGAGUUAUCCAAACUGGUGUGUGACUAAACCUCCUGAAUUUUCCCACUGGCCUUCAUGUCAUCUCCAGUAGAUUAUCUUCUCAUCUUGUCAAUCUGGAUCUGCUUUGCUACUGGAAAGCUCCCAAUAAAUAGGUAGCUGCUAUUGGCUAAAGGACUGCACCUCCUCUCUGCAAGCUAAGAAGGCAUCAUGUGUUCUCUACAGGAGCUGUUGCUUUAUUACAACAGAAAAAAUAAAAAUAAACUUCAUUGAGGAUCACCUCUCUGGUCCGAAAAUACUAUUUUCAGUUUUGUCAAAAUUAGUCACCUUUGGUCAUUUUUGCUUAAACUGGAGCAACUUAGAAAGUGGAAACAAAUUAAAUGCAAAAGGCUGCUAAUAACAAAGUAAUUAAAGGUCAUGUUUAAAAAACUUUGUGUUAUGUGAAAAUAUGUUUGCUUGUUUUUUUUUAUGUAUAAAUGAUCCUUAAGUUGGUGUGGAAUGGCUUAAAAAAACACUUCUCUGCAUUGACUCAGGUAAAAGACGCCAACUUUAAAAGACCCUAAUAAAAGCCUGGGGAAUUAAAAACUUUAUAGGAUUAUAAUAAAGUCUAAAAUAUCUUAAACAAACUAAUAAAAAUGUUCAGCAUCAUAUAUGUGACACAAAGCAUUCCAGUAAUUAAAAUGACACAAGCUUUCAGUCUUAAUGUUGUGAGAAGAUUUUAUUAUUUUAUAGGAAAAACAAAACUCGCCUCAUUAUAAUCUGGAGAUUAUCCAACAUACACUAAAGCCUAAUUCAGUCAUUCAGAUCUGUUAAAAGGGGAGUGGCAAAUGUUCAACAAGAUGAAGAAGACACGCUGGAGACCAUCUUCUCAUAAUAAAUAUACUCUUUGAAAUUGUUAUAACUUGACAGUUAUGUUAUUGAAGGAUUUUAGCCAUUAGAAUUGCUAUAAAAACACACAAAAUGAACUACAAGUUCUCCAAGAGGCUAGAAAGUUAGCACUAGCCAUGUUAGAGCGUCAGUGCGGUGCCAGAUCUCCCACCCUACUUCCACACAUUCUUCACUAAGGAGAAGAAACCAGUAAACGGAAAAGAAGGAAGCAGAGAAAAACCUAUGAUUACAGGGAUU